CUUUUGCGGUGUUUUGCUAAUGGAUGUUUGAUAAUUCCACAAAGCUUUUUGAGUAGUUGCCAUUCAAACAGCACCUUCUAAGCCGUCAAAGUCGAAGGCUUGGAUUCUUCUGGUGCACCACCCUCUGUUGACCCUGCAAUUAAUGAGACAAUGAAGCUGAAACUAGAGGUUGACACCAUAAAGGAUUAUACUCCGACCAUGCCAAACCAUAAACACGGUCCACCACCAAGAGGAAAACCGUGACAACCGCCAGCGGUGGCGGCAG